CUUGCGGCCAUAUCUCGUUGAAAAACCAGUUCCCGUCCGAUUACCGAAGUUAAGCAAUGUCGAAUCCUGGCUAGUAGCUAGAUGGGUAACCACUUGGGAAUACCAGA